CAAUUUAGAGCUUGUAAGCGUUUUAUUUACAUUAAAGAGAUUAACCUGUAAGGUUUGAAUUGA
rnacentral:tRNA from 1 species